ACCAAUCAAAAGGGACACUGACCAUAAAUAACCUGGCACGGGACCCUAGAACCCCUGCUGGGCCCGGCUUCACCCCCUCAAUGGCUUGAUUGUUGGGGGUGGGCAUGGGGAAAAGGCUAAGGCAGCAGGGAGGGACGUGGGACACUCAGAGUCAUAGCUAUUUAAGCCUUUCUGGAAGUAUUUCAAUAUUUUAACAACUGGUAGUGCCUUGCCUGCUCAUUAUUCCAGUGGUAUCCUGAGUUGGCCCCGGGAGACACAAAUAGGCCUGGCUUAACCUCAUCAAGUUCACAAGUCUUUCCAACCCAAGGAGCCUAAAGUUCUGUCCCAACUGCCUCUCUUUGAUGGGGAGCCGCCAGGAGCUCCCAUCCGGCGCAACCACCUGGUGUGAGCUCCAGGAGAAGGGUGGCGGGCCAUGUGUUGAGCUCAGCACAGCCGCUGAAGGGCUCCUCCGCCAGCCCCCUAGCCCCUUCCCACGGCCUGCCAAGCCCCCUCCUCCUCACCGUAUAAAUAUCCUGGGUGACAAACAGCUACCCCAACCCAUCUGUUUCUUUGUACACAUUUGUAGCCAGUUUGGAAACGUGAUUUAUAAAUAUUGCUUUCCCAGCCAGGGAUUAACACUGAUGUAUGUCAGGCCAGAUGGAUGGAUACGGUGCUGGGCACAGAUCCUGCCUGGAAGGGUGGGGUAAGGGUCUGGGGUGGCCAGCGACUUCCCCAGGUGAAGCCAGCCACUGCCCAGGAGGGCAGCUCGGGAGGUUCAGGGAUGAUGCCCAGGGAUUCCCCUUUGUUGAGGAGUGGCAGGGACCAGAGCUCUCAGACCAUAUGGCUUCGUGGUCAAAGACAGCAACCCCGAGAAACAAACAUCUCUCCCCUCCUCUGUUCUUGCUUGGGAAUUUGAGGCUGAGCCAGAGCCAGGCACUCAUUUUUCAAAUCUGUCUACUUCUCUGUCCCUCUACAACCACUAUCCUCUCACACCUAAAACACACAGUGUCUUCCUGACUGAUCUUCCACAUCCACUCGUGUUUUAGAUUAGAAACUCCCUUGCCCCACACAUAGGCUCAGUGAGGGCAGGGACCAUGUCUGUCUUGUUCAAUGCUGUAUCCUCAAGGGCUAGACUAAUCCUGGCAUACAGAGGGUGCUCAAUUAGUAUUUGCUGUGGGAUUAGUCUCUUCUUUGCUUAAAACCCACCAAUCAGUGGCCUCCUGCUGCUUUUAAGAAAAUAACCCCAAUUCCUGACAACGGCCUCUAAGACUUCCCAUGAGGAGCCCUGCCCACCCCGACUCCCAGACUCACUUUGAUUCACUCUAGCCACUCCUUCAUCCCUCCAGUCACAAAGCAGUGCUUUAGUUCCUUGAACAUCUUGUGCUUCUUCCGACCUCAGGGCCUUUGCAUGGGCUGUUCCCUCUCCUUGAACUCAUCAUUCAGGGCUCAGCAAAAAUAUCACUUCUUCCAAGAAGAUCUCUCUGACCUCUGAGACCGAGUCAGGUCCUCCGUUAGGUGCUCUUCCUGUACUUUUUUCUUCUUAGCACUCACCAUGGUUUGUAAUUGUAGACUAAAUUGUGAGUUUAUUUAAUUAACAUGUUUCUCAUAGUAGGAUCUGAGCUCAGAUCCAGGACUAUGAUUGGUUCAGCUCUCCAUUGUUUUCUUCCAGCGACUAGUAGGGUACUAGGACAUAGUACUUACUCAGUAAAGAUUUAUUGGAUGGAUGGAUGGAUGGAUGGAUGGAUGGAUGGAUGAUUUAAUGGAAAAUAUAGCUAUGCCACCAAUUCACGGACUAAAUUCAGACAAGUCACUUCUCUCUGAGCCUCAACUCCCACGUGUAUAAAAUGGGAAUAAUGUCACAACACUUGGUGGCUGUGAUGAUUAAACAUCACUAUAUAUUUCAUGCAUCUACAGAAUCCUUGAUGCAUAAAAAGCAUGCAGUCAGCACAAAGGAGUCCCACAUCAUUUCCUCUUCCUCAUCUUGCUCUCGAGCCUCCUUUCCUCCCCUGGGGAAGGCAGAUAUUUUCACAGCUAGGGGUGAUUCUCCCUCUGACGGGGAGGCUGGAGUCGCGGCAGAGCUUGAGGAGCUGACCCGGGACCACCAGUGACCUUAAACGUGCAGGUCAUGCAAGUGUCAUUCUUCAAGUCUGGCUUGGUGCCAGGGGAGAGUCAGGCACACCCGAACCUAACGCCACGUGACAAGUCCUAUAACAGAAGUGUGCGUGGCACCUGCAUAGUCAGAGCAAGGAGGGACAAGCCAUAAAUCCUUCCUUUCCAGGGAGGCAGAGAAAGGAGGCCACGGAAAGGAGGUGACAUUUAGCUGGAGCAUGACAGAUGAGGAAUUUGCACAGGCAAGAAGGUGGAGUGGGCCCACCCAGAGAGUGGGCACGUGGGCCACGUAGGGAACAGGGGGUGGGGCACAAACGACUUAGCGGCCGGCAGCUACUGAGAAUUUCUCUGUGCUGGGACCCAUUCUAAGGGUUAUUCGUGAAUGUCACCAUUUACCCUUCACACCUCUGUGUUACCAUUUUCCUCGGUUACAGAUGAGGAACCCGAGGCCCAGGGUAGCUUAGUGAGCUCCUGAGCUGGCAAACGAUCGACUUGGCAUUAUUUUUUAACAUUUUAGUGGAAACUUGAAAAUAUGUAUAAAAGUAGGUAGAAUCUCCUGAAAUCUCCUGAUACUCAUCCCAUGAAAUCUCCUCAUCCCAUGAGCUUCGACCCAUGAUCCAUCUUGUGAGAGCUGGAUCUGUAGUUCAUAGGUGUGCUCAAGGUCACAAGCCAGCUCUUUUCUCCUGUAUCGUGCCCACGAUCAGGGGAGGCCAGGACUAGGGGACUGAAUUGGGCUAACUGGGGCCACCAAGCCAGGGAAGGGACCCAGACUGCUGAAGUCUGAGGUCAGA